rnacentral:lncRNA from 1 species
GGGGUGAGGAGGAAGAGGUCUCGGCAGCACUCACCUUGGCCCGUCUGAAGGAGAGAGGAAUUGCUUUGUGGAGUGGAGAGCCAGGCACAGAGGAGGUCAAGUCCCAACCACAGGUCCUUGUAGAACGAAGCCAGAGUGCCUCUGGGAGAGACAGUGACACUGACGUGGAGGAGGGAUCCUCAGGGGGAAAGAGAGAGAUUGUCCCUGACAGCCCCAUGGAUGUAGAUGAGACUCUUACUGUCACACAGCCAGAGAGCCAGCCUCCCUGUAGGCCCAAUGAUGUAGACGAGGAUGUGGAUAUGAGCUCCCCUGGCAGCCAUCUAGAGGGAAAGAAGGCCUC